UACAGAGGGUGCAAGCGUUAAUCGGAUUUACUGGGCGUAAAGGGCGCGUAGGCGGCUUGACAAGUCACUUGUGAAAUCUCCGGGCUUAACUCGGAACGGCCAAGUGAAACUGUCAUGCUAGAGUGCAGAAGGGGCAAUCGGAAUUCUUGGUGUAGCGGUGAAAUGCGUAGAUAUCAAGAGGAACACCUGAGGUGAAGACGGGUUGCUGGGCUGACACUGACGCUGAGGCGCGAAAGCCAGGGGAGCAAACGGG
rnacentral:rRNA from 1 species